GACGAACGCUGGCGGCGUGCCUAAUACAUGCAAGUCGAGCGCGAAGGGUUGGUGCUUGUACCAACUGGAUGAGCAGCGAACGGGUUAGUAACGCGUUGGGUAUCUCCCUUUUAGCGGGGCACAUCCUUUGGAAUCGAAUGCUAAUACGGCAUAAAAACUUUAAUCACACGUUUUCAGUUUGAAAUAUGCAAUUGCAUCACCCAAAGAUGAUCCAUCGUUGUAUUAGCUAGUUGGUGGGGUAAAGGCUCACCGAGGCGGUGAUACAUAGCCGACCUCAGAGGGUGGUUGGCCACCCUAGCACUGAGAAACGGCGCAAACUCCUACGGGAGGCCGCAGUAGGGACUCUUACGCGAUGGAGGAAAGUCUGAUAGAGCAAAGCCGCGUGAGUGCAGAAGGUGCUAGGAUCGUAAAACGAUGUAGGUAGUGAAGAACGAUGGUGAGAGUGGAAAGGACAUCAAGUGCCGGUAACUAGCAAGAAGGGGCCGGCUACUUCCGU
rnacentral:rRNA from 1 species